UUUUAGCCCGGCGCCCGGCGCUACAUAAGGACCCGGCCUCUGGUCUCGUCUCUCCAUCCGCCAGCUCGUGUCAUCCCAUCCCAGUGAUCAGUCCUUGCUUGGCUUCCGGAGUUCCAGUCACCAGCCAGCCAGUCAGCCAGCCAUGAGCUACCAGCAGGGAGGAGCUUACCCGCCGCCGGGCACGGCGUACCCUCCGCCGGGCCAGCAGGCGUACCCGCCGCCGGCCUACGGCGCGCCGCCCCCCAUGGCCGCCGGCUACCCGCCACCGCCGCCGCCGCAGCAGGAGAAGGGCGGCAACGACGGCUUCUUGAAAGGAUGCUUGGCGGCCCUCUGCUGCUGCUGCGUGCUCGACAUGUGCUUCUGAGCUCUCCUCUCCAGUGAUGGCGGCGCGUCCAGACCCAGAUCGAUUCCUGCAGGGACGCGAAUGAAUGGAGCUGUUUUCUGAGUCAUGAUGCUUCUUUGAUUCCGUCGUGUAUAUGCUUUGUUGCCGCUAUUAUGAUUUUAGUAUUGUGAUCAUGGGGUUGGUGUACCUGCAACUCCAUCUCUAGACUUCACUAGUUCAUCCAAGUUUUUCUUUCUGGAGUUCGUGUGUGUGCUCUGGAAAAAGAGAACAUUUCCGAUCAAUUUGUACUUGGUUUGGUGCUUCAUUAUUGCCGUACUCCUUAACUUCUCCUGAAAAUCAA